GCGAGUGAAGCGGCAAAAGCUCAAAUUUGAAAUCUGGCGUAUUCUGCGUCCGAGUUGUAAUUUGAAGAAGGAUACUUUGGGGUUGGCUCUUGUCUAUGUUUCUUGGAACAGAACGUCACAGAGGGUGAGAAUCCCGUGCGAUGAGAAGCCCAAUUCCGUGUAAAGUGCCUUCGAAGAGUCGAGUUGUUUGGGAAUGCAGCUCUAAGUGGGUGGUAAAUUCCAUCUAAAGCUAAAUAUUGGCGAGAGACCGAUAGCGAACAAGUACAGUGAUGGAAAGAUGAAAAGAACUUUGAAAAGAGAGUGAAAAAGUACGUGAAAUUGUUGAAAGGGAAGGGCUUGAGAUCAGACUUGGUAUUUUGUAUGUCUUGCUUUCGGGUGGGGCCUCUGCAGUUUACUGGGCCAGCAUCGGUUCGGGUGGUAGGACAAUUGCGAAGGAACGUGGCACUGCUUCGGUGGUGUGUUAUAGCCUUUGUGGAUACUGCCUGUCUGGACCGAGGACUGCGUCAUUUGACUAGGAUGCUGGCAUAAUGAUCUUAAGUCGCCC
rnacentral:rRNA from 1 species